ensembl:lncRNA
CUCAGUUUCUUUGCACACAACCAUGAGAGCAGUCCCCCACCCCCAACCGGCCCUCCCCUUUCUUUACUAUUGAUUGUGUUCUCGCAAUUAACACACCUCAAUUAGCCACCGAUCUCAACGUUUACCCCCCCAGGUCUCGACGUGGAUCAGGAAGCAGUGGACCCACUGCUCUGCCAUUCAACCCAUAGGCUUGAAAAGUUGGCAAAAGAGCGUUUUAACCCCAAAUGUUUGCUGUUUGCACGCAUUUCCCCCCCGCCUGGAAAUGAGGAACAAGAGGCAGCACACGCGAUGGCACACUGAUGAGCCGCCAGCUCGUUAAUUAGUGAGUCGCUAAUUAAUGAGUCGUUAAUUAAUGAGUCGUUAUCCAGCGACGCACCCGUGCCAAACGGCCAUGAAGAAACAUGGGGAACCAACAGAAGGUUGGUGAAGAGCGCGGAACGCCACCUCAUUUUAGGCAAGAAGGCCACAAAUCACUCCAAGUCCCGCAGUUAAUUAAUUACCGCGCGAGUUAACGAGGCUGGCUCCGGGCGCAGUGAUUCACCCUUCUUCCUUCACGCUGAUUUAUGACCACGUCCAAAUUCCAACCCCUGUGCUGCAGCCACAGUUUUUGGUCCCGGCCAAACUGCAGCUUUCUGCUGCUCUGCUCCGGGUGGGGGUUUUCUCUUUUGGG